UUACUAACUAGACUGUAAAAAGAUUGAGAGAGAGAGAGAAAAACACAUGAAAAUUACCAACUGCUUUUAAGGCCCUGCCUUGUUCAGGGCCAAGCAUUAAUCAAUAACAAACAAGGCAGGCCAUAGAGAAAAAGGACGAUUGGCCUUUUACAAAAAUGCUGAAUCACAGGUAUGAUUGAUGGGGUUUGUGGUUGUUUUAAUGCUCAUCCUGGUUGUGCCUGACUUAAUUUAUGUUUUAAACCCUACA